AGUGGAUGUGACGACAGAAGCCCUGAAAUCUCAGUAUAUUACCGAAUACAAGAGUAAAGAGGGUAUUGAACUGGAACGGGAAAAGAUCAAAGAGAAUCCUGGAUUACGCUCGCUGGCCAAAUUAAUGCUGAACAGUUUUUGGGGACGUUUGGGAAUGCAAAGUGAUAGGUUGAUCACGGAGUACGUUAGCGAGCCAGCCCGCUUUUAUGAAUUGCUACUCUCCGGUCAGUACCACGUCCAUUCGUGGGAUAUGUUUGGGGAGGAAGUGCUGCAGGUGAUGUUUACGAAGGAAGAAGGGUUUCUCGAAGAAGAUCCGAGUACAAAUGUGGUCCUUGCAGCGUAUGUAUAUUCCUUUUUUAAUUGCACCGCAUAAAGGUCAACUCUGGUUUUUAGUUUCACCACUUGUUGGGCUCGCCUUCAUUUACUGCAGUUUAUGGAACACGUACAAGACCGCCUGUUAUAUUUUGAUACAGGUGGGUUCGUACUGCGUGCGCUGUAGGACACAGAAAAACUGCAGUUAUAUCUGUUUAGAUUCAAUAAUUUUUGUGGAUCAGCCAGACAAACCGAAACCAGCAACGGGUAAAUUUCUGGGCGACCUGACCGACGAACUUAAGCCGGGCCAAUACAUCACCGAGUUUGUCAGCUUGGGCCCGAAGACGUACGCCUAUGUGACGAACGACAACGCUAAUACAGUAAAGGUCAAAGGAUUCACGCUGAAUGGGCAGACUAGUGAAGUAAUAAAUUUUGAAAAGAUGUUGUUAAUGUUAGAUAAUUGUGACGAGCUUUGUGUGAAUUAUCCUGAUUUAAUCAAGCGUGAUAAACCUACUUUGACUUUACAACAGUACGAUAUGUCUAAAACACUUCGUAUGACUUAUGAUAAACGGCGAAUAGUGGAAAACUGGAACACGCUACCGUUUGGUUAUGUACCGAAAUGAAUACCAUGAGAUUUGUUGGUUCUGAAUUUUUAAUGAACAAGUUGAGAAACUCUGACACGUGCUAACAGACGUUAAAUCAAACAGAACAUUUUGACAUUUCCAUACGUUAUUGUUCUGAUAACACUGUCACAAAACUAGCAAGCUAAGCAUUUAAGUCGAGUUAAUAAAAGUUCGCAGCAUUCCGACUGCCCCAUCUCCCACUGGUUGGAAGGAGAACUGCCAUAUUCCGUAUAUGGAUGCCCCAGCGGAUCAAACCGAAGAAGAUCAGGUAGGUAAGUCAAGCAGUAGUGUUAUUGGCAACGAAGACAGUGCAGGCGGUGUCAUUGACGCAAAGGUCAACCAGGCGGGGUCGGUGAGCGAUAAUUUUGAUAAUAUUUUCUGCACAAAUAAAUGUAAUUAAAAUAAGAACUAAAAUCAACCAUAAAAUACCAAUGCAGAAUUUUCCCAGACGGUUGUCGAUCCGCUCGACAAGGUCCAGUCUGGGAAUCAUUCCCUGGACGUUGGCCAUUUUGUUAUAAGUUCAACAAAAACAAACCUGCUUAAAUAGUUGGAGUUAUUAAAUCUGUUUUUGGUAAUAUUAUGGUUUCCAUUUAGCACCGUUACAUUUUCGACCCGGUACAAUUAUGCAACCCUUUUUAGUGUUCCGAACUGCUCAAAAUAAACCACCGACAUCCUAAACUUAUUUCUAGCCUUUCUUUAGUUGUAACAGUUAAAACUGAUUUUUAUAAGGUUUUUGUCCGAGCGCUUACAUAAACACAAAAAUGAGUUUUAUGGAAAGUUUUCGUAUGGGUGACGGAGUAUUCUCCACGUAUGAAUCUAGGCUAGCUACAUACGAUUUUUGGAAGUCUCCUUGCAAGCAAAACUUAUCACGCCAGUUAGCGGAAGCCGGUUUUGUUUACAUGGGCGGUUGGUCUGCAAAUUGCGUUCACUGCCAGUGUCAACUAGAUCUAGAUGAUCGGGUCAGCAUAGAUGCAUGGAAA